ensembl:ncRNA Y54G2A.67 ncRNA
AUAAAUCAGGAAAACGACGAUAAAAUUGGACAAGAGACAACCCGAGCGGGAGCGCAACUUGUCAUCUCCCCCGGGAAAUAGUGUUAGGGGAUUAGAGACGCAGAGAUAGUUGACACGAGUUGAGGUGAACACGUAAAUCAAGAUAAAAUUAAGAGAAGGGGAGACGACAAGAAGGUGUGGAUGAUUGCCAUAAAAGGUCAUACAAAUUGUUUUGGGACAUACGGGGGGGGGAACGCCACGUAUUCGAGAGAUUGUGUUCGGUGAUAGA